rnacentral:rRNA from 1 species
GGUGAACGCUGGCGGCGUGCCUAAUACAUGCGAGUCGAGCGAAUGGAUUAAGAGCUUGCUCUUAUGAAGUUAGCGGCGGACGGGUGAGUAACACGUGGGUAACCUGCCCAUAAGACUGGGAUAACUCCGGGAAACCGGGGCUAAUACCGGAUAACAUUUUGAACCGCAUGGUUCGAAAUUGAAAGGCGGCUUCGGCUGUCACUUAUGGAUGGACCCGCGUCGCAUUAGCUAGUUGGUGAGGUAACGGCUCACCAAGGCAACGAUGCGUAGCCGACCUGAGAUGGUGAUCGGCCCCACUGGGACUGAGACACGGCCCAGACUCCUACGGGAGGCAGCAGUAGGGAAUCUUCCGCAAUGGACGAAAGUCUGACGGAGCAACGCCGCGUGAGUGAUGAAGGCUUUCGGGUCGUAAAACUCUGUUGUUAGGGAAGAACAAGUGCUAGUUGAAUAAGCUGGCACCUUGACGGUACCUAACCAGAAAGCCACGGCUAACUACGUGCCAGCCGCCGCAGUAA